rnacentral:rRNA from 1 species
CGUAACAANGUCUCCGUAGGUGAACCUGCGNNNNNAUCAUUACAAGAACGCCCGGGCUACGGCCUGGUUAUUCAUAACCCUUUGUUGUCCGACUCUGUUGCCUCCGGGGCGACCCUGCCUUCGGGCGGGGGCUCCGGGUGGACACUUCAAACUCUUGCGUAACUUUGCAGUCUGAGUAAACUUAAUUAAUAAAUUAAAACUUUUAACAACGGAUCUCUUGGUUCUGGCAUCGACGAAGAACGCAGCGAAAUGCGAUAAGUAAUGUGAAUUGCAGAAUUCAGUGAAUCAUCGAAUCUUUGAACGCACAUUGCGCCCCCUGGUAUUCCGGGGGGCAUGCCUGUUCGAGCGUCAUUUCACCACUCAAGCCUCGCUUGGUAUUGGGCAACGCGGUCCGCCGCGUGCCUCAAAUCGUCCGGCUGGGUCUUCUGUCCCCUAAGCGUUGUGGAAACUAUUCGCUAAAGGGUGUUCGGGAGGCUACGCCGUAAAACAACCCCAUUUCUAAGGUUGACCUCGGAUCAGGUAGGGAUACCCGCUGAACUUAAGCAUAUCA